rnacentral:rRNA from 1 species
CAGCCGCCGCGGUAAUACGUAGGUCCCGAGCGUUGUCCGGAUUUAUUGGGCGUAAAGCGAGCGCAGGCGGUUAGAUAAGUCUGAAGUUAAAGGCUGUGGCUUAACCAUAGUACGCCUUGGAAACUGUUUAACUUGAGUGCAAGAGGGGAGAGUGGAAUUCCAUGUGUAGCGGUGAAAUGCGUAGAUAUAUGGAGGAACACCGGUGGCGAAAGCGGCUCUCUGGCUUGUAACUGACGCUCAUGCACGAAAGCGUGGGGAGCAAACAGGAUUAGAUACCCCAGUAGUCCCUGUCUCUUAUACA